rnacentral:tRNA from 1 species
AGGGGUAUAGCUCAAUGGUAGAGUGACGGUCUCCAAAACCGGGUAUGAGAGUUCGAUUCUUUCUACCCCUGCCA